GGCCAGCGGCUCCUGCUGCGUGGAUGGGGUGUUGAAACGAGCUCCUUCCCCAUUCCCGGCUGGCACCCACACGUGCGAAAGCUAGGAAUUAAAGAGUUAAAAUCGAGGGAAGCUCUCAGGGGCACUGACAGCCCUUGAUCAAAUCUACGAGAAUUUGCACCAUAAAGACUCCCAGACCCGGCUGUGACAGGUCGGAUUUCUGUCAUUAUUACAGCCAAUUCCUUACGACCUUUUGACCAAAAGACCUCGAAUCUCACCACUAAAAUGAUUUGUGACACAGCCAUGUCCUAGUAGGAGACUGUUGCUGUGGCGAUUAAAUAUUCCUUUUAAUUUUUACAGAAAAGCACCGCUAUAAAAAUUCAAAGUGCCAGGCUUGCAUAUUAUUUUUAAAUAAUGAUAGUAAUAUAAGUGAAGCUUUUUUCUUUCCCCAGACACGUCUGGGGGUGGACUGCUAUAUGAGCUUCCUCCUGCCUAGCAGAUAUGGUGUGAUUAUUUUUGUAUUGUCUGUCGUUCCCUCACAUUUAUAGAAACUAGGAAUUACAUAAUUUUACAUGGUCAAACAACUACACAUGAGCCCUUCAUUUAAACGGAGAUUUGAAGGGUUUCCUGGAUUUAAUUUCUGUUUCCUGACACGGCCUUUUUCUGCCUUGACUUUAUGUUGCUGCAUCAAGCAGAACACGUCUCUUGAUACUCGUGAAAACCCCUUGGUUAAAACCCCAUUGAUGAGAGCUGCAGCUACUGGCUUUUCCUUGAUUGCACUUGAGCUGUGGUCCCGUCGUUGGAAAUGCUGCCAUUGCAUGUGGCAGGAUCACCAAGCAGUACCAGUGAUCCAAAUGAAGCGCAGACAUAUCCUGGAUUUUUGCUGAAUUGAGAGGAUAUGAUAAAGAGUUGCUUUUGCUAGCAGUGCUCUUGCUGCUUACUACAGAACAGGUGAUACCUGAUAGCCUGGAGAAGAGAAGGCUCCAGGGAGACCUUAGAGCAGCCUUACGGUACCUAAAGGGUGCCUACAAGAAAUCUGGAGAGGGGCUGUUUACAAGGGCUUGUAGUGAUAUGAUGAGGGGAAUGGCUUUAAGCUGGAAGGGAGUGGAUUUAGAUUAGAUACUUUGAAGAAAUUCUUGACUGAGAGGGUGCUGAGGUGCUAGCACAGGUUGUCCAGAGAAGCUGUGGCUGCCCCAUCCCUGGCAGUGUUCAAGGCCAGGUUGGAUGGGGCUUGGAGCAGCCUGCUCUAGUGGAAGGUGUCCAUGCCCAUGGCAGGGGGGUUGGAACUGGAUGAUCUUUAAGGUCCCUUCCAGUCCAAACCAUUCUGUGAUUCUAUGAUACAGAACAAAACCCAAAAGCAUGAUGUCAACAAACCGAAAGCAUUUUGCCAAGUUAGAAGUGUCAGACUGGGUUUAUGUUAGGUUUGAAUCAUGUGACCACUGAUUGUUUUGUCAUUGGGGAGCACUGAAUUUGAUUUCCUGCAUCUUUAAACCACAGUCUUGUGUCCUUUCUUCAAGAAGAGACAUGUUUAUCCAAAUAUUUUUUCUUCCUUCCAUAGUACUUAAAUAAUGUUGGGAGUUUAUUUAAUUGCAUUUCUAAAGAAAAAUGUGAGUUGUGCAUGUGAAUUUCUAAGCAUUAUAAAAUAAAGAUCUCCAGCCAGAGAGCUGGCAAAAGCUUCCAGAAGAUGCCUUUGGGGCAUGCAGGCUGAGCAACUGCACUGCCCGAGGCAGAUUCAGAGGAGAAGGACAAGACUCUGUGGAUGUCAGCCCAGCAGGCACCAAGAGGGAGCAGGUGCUGAAAACUGUCCCAGGAGUUGCUGGACAAUACACAGCCAGGAAAGAGCUUUCGAGACAAUGAAGUGGUUUAGAAGCUAUAGUUCUACUUUUAAAACAUUACUCUGGCAGUUACUCACCUAACCUCUGCCAUUUCUUAAAAGAAACCUGGGCUUUCAAGUGCUAUGGAAUGAAAUAAAACUCCAGAUGAUUGUGUUUUAUCCAUGUCCUAAAUCUUACCUACUACCCCUGAUGUCCAGCAUUUUCUACCAGCUUUUCCAUUAUGAGUGAAAAAAAGAAUAGAAGCGUCUCUGAGUCUUAACAUUGUAGUUGUGAUCCUCCAGAUGGCGUUUUGCCAGCACUGGAAUUCUGCAAAGUUGCAGUGCUAUCUCUUUGAAUGUGAGUAAAAAGUCCUUAGGGAUGAAUGUGGGAUUUUUCAGAGUCCUGCAGGAGUCAUAAAAAUCCAGCUGAUGGUUUGGAUUUGCUCCAGAAAUGUGCUUCAAAAUGAGGGAUAAUUCCUAGUUUUUUCUGAGUAUCACUGGCUUCUCAGGAAUAACAUUCAACAACAUUUGCAUCAUCGAGUGGAAUAUGUAUGCUUCUCCCUGUCUUAUGCAAGACUUUACAAAUAAAUCCUUUUAGGCAAUGAUA